CUCUUCAGGGCCAACGCAAGUGCUAUAUCACAUAUUUGCAAGAUUGAGGUUUACAGCUUCACACAUUGCUUCACUUGGCCUACCAGGAGUGCAUCAUUUGGGUUUGUCUGAUCUUAAGUAUGUAAAAUUAUUUUACUUGACAAACAUGAUUAACGCUAAUAAUAGGGUAACAAAAGGCAUAUACUGCAUAUGCAGAAUUUGAUUUGUGUUUUGAAACUAAGAGCUCAAUGUAAAUUCAAUUAUUGCCACAAUGAUGUAAAGAUCAUUUCAGAAUUUACUGACUCGAUCAUAUUUAAUUUUUUUCCUUCAUAUCUAUUUUUAUCAAAUUUCACGGCUGAUAAAUUUUAUCGUCAUCCCGCGGGCCACACCUGACCAUUCUAAGGGCCACAUUUGGCCCGGGGCAGUUUGUUUUUUUAGCAUGUCGUGUGAAGGUUGUCGCCAAUCUUACAUGGACGUAAUUUGUGAAUUUUGGGGUAAAGACAACGAGACCCUUCAAUUGUUUAAAGAUCACGGCAUUGUUCCUUUACAUAGAGACUGUUAAUUUCUUACAUUAUUUUCAUCAGUGAGUUCUGAUAUGAUAAUCAUUUAUUGUGGAAACCGCCAACACAGUACAGGUAUAUCACUCAACCGCCCGGGGUACAUAGUGCCGAUGUGGCAGCAUCAUCUCAAGUCCAGAAAAUGCCUCAAAUUUCACCAUAUCAUAGCAUAACAUAAGGUACAGCCAGCAGAGUGCAACACAGGCCAGGGACCCAGAGCUUUAGUAAGUAAUUGACAAUGGUGUCUGCAAGAUGGCUAUAUGGCGACGUGUAAGAAACAGCAUGUCUGUACUGUUGCUGCUUAUAGUCAUUCUUUAUAUUGGUUACUGCACUGAAGAGCUGUACGCAAGAAUACAGAACCAUCGCAAGCUUCAGAGGCUCACAGAUUAUGAAAAAGAGAUUGAUGAGCUGACAAAAAUGCUUGGAGAAUACAAGAAUGAUGCCAGCAGUGUUCAGAGGAGCAUCAAGUUAUUGCAGGAAGCUUUUGGUCACAUCAAGCUCAACCAGGAAGCAAAGACAAUGAGUGACAGAUGAUACCUGUUAAAAGUUUAUUUAAGACUUGAAAUAUUAACAUACAGACAGACUCCAACAUAGAGGAACACUCCAGCAAGACACUAAGUCACCAUCCAUGCUGUCUAACAUCAGUUAUUAUUCUCAUAUACAGUACUGUACUUCAAUCUCAUCAUAAAUAUUCUUUAGUUUGUAGUACAGUAGUUCAGUACUAGUCUUGGCUGUUUCUGGUAUAUUCUGCUGCACAAGUUAACACUUCACCAUUUAUUAUUGUACUGGACUAUUGAAACUUAGUUAUGAUUUUGUUUUUUCUUAUUAUUUAGCCUUAAGUAUAUAUAUACAAUAUAUAUACUACAUACAGUAUAUAUAUACUAUAGUACUGUAUUAUUGCUAAAUCCUGUUGCUUCCAAAAUAUAACCAGAAUUGAUGGGAUUUUGUUCAUGUCAUUAUCUCUGGAAGUUGAGACAGCUUUAUUACCACUGUUUUUAUUCAACAGUUUUUUUUUUUUAACAUUUUCCAGUAUGAUGUUCUUCCAUUUUGUGAAGAAUGAUAUCUCAAGAGAGUUUAUACCCUGUAAGAGAAGAAAAUAUACUUGUACUUGUAAUGCUGAUAUACAGUAUGUUCAUUCUGAUGUGAAAUAAUAGGUAUUUGUUGCAUAACUUAACUAGUUAUCUUAUUUAAGACUUAAGAGGUCACCUUUAUAUUCUAUUGUCAAUGUUGUCCAGACAAUUUCUUGGGACAUGUUGAAUGUCAGAAAUGUGAAACUAUAACUGGUAAAAACAUUGUUUGUGAACAUACUGUAUGUUGAUAACAACUUCAUGUUUAAUUAAUUCAGGGAUGUUUUCAGUUUCACAAACAAUACUGUACAUAAGCUUUACAAAACUUAUACUGUACACUUUUCCCACACUCAUACUGUGAUAUAAUACUGCUUGCAAGAUCAGUUCACAACAUCUUGCCUGUUAAUUAUUUCCACAUGUUCAACUUUUCCAGACUAUGGCAGUACUGCUUAUAUUUUUGAUGAGAAAUGAUUCAUCAGGUAUAUGUGUACAGAGAAAUGAUCUAAUGAAUAUCUGUGUUUGGCUUAGAGGGAAACUCAAGUAGAACUCACAAAUUUGUCCCUGAAAGACACCCAUUUCUCACACAAUCCCUUACCCAGUUGUGUCAUGUUACCUUUGAUAUCUGUAUGUACUGUACCUCUUACCAUUCAUUUCUCUCAGGUAUGCUCUUUUAGCAAUUACUCUUUCCAUGGUCUUGCUCCUGCUAUGUUAGGAUAUAAUAAACCCUUGAUAUAUUGCAGUCAUUAGUAUCACAGUUGGCUGUAUCACCACACACUAAUUAGGGAAUGUAUUUUUAUAUUAAGGGGGGGGGGGGGGCUAAGAUUAUAGUAGGCUUUGGCUGGCCAGUGAGAUCAGCAGCUCCAGUCAUCAAGGUGUGGAUGGAUGUUUCACCCUUUGGAUGUUACGACUGUGAACACUUGACCACAUCUCCCCAUCUCAAAUUUUAGCAAUAUUAAAUUAAUAUUUUAACUAACACAUUUUAUUUUAAGUACUGUACAUUAUUUAAAAAU